rnacentral:rRNA from 1 species
GAUGAACGCUAGCGGCAGGCUUAACACAUGCAAGUCGAGGGGCAGCAUAAUGGAUAGCACUAUCUAUGGUGGCGACCGGCGCACGGGUGCGUAACGCGUAUGCAACCUACCUUUAACAGGGGGAUAACACUGAGAAAUUGGUACUAAUACCCCAUAAUAUCAUAGAAGGCAUCUUUUAUGGUUGAAAAUUCCGAUGGUUAGAGAUGGGCAUGCGUUGUAUUAGCUAGUUGGUGGGGUAACGGCUCACCAAGGCGACGAUACAUAGGGGGACUGAGAGGUUAACCCCCCACACUGGUACUGAGACACGGACCAGACUCCUACGGGAGGCAGCAGUGAGGAAUAUUGGUCAAAGGACGCAAGUCUGAACCAGCCAUGCCGCGUGCAGGAUGACGGCUCUAUGAGUUGUAAACUGCUUUUGUACGAGGGUAAACGCAGAUACGUGUAUCUGUCUGAAAGUAUCGUACGAAUAAGGAUCGGCUAACUCCGUG